rnacentral:rRNA from 1 species
GACGAACGCUGGCGGCGCGCUUAACACAUGCAAGUCGAACGGACGUAGAAAUACGUUAGUGGCGGACGGGUGAGUAACGCGUGAGCAAUCUGCCUCUAUCAUCGGGAUAACACACGGAAACGAGUGCUAAUACCGAAUAAGACCACAUACCGGCAUCGGAGAGGGGUCAAAGAUUUUAUCGGAUAGAGAUGAGCUCGCGUCCCAUUAGCUAGUUGGUAGGGUAACGGCUUACCAAGGCGACGAUGGGUAGCCGACCUGAGAGGGUGAUCGGCCACACUGGAACUGAGAUACGGUCCAGACUCCUACGGGAGGCAGCAGUGGGGAAUAUUGGGCAAUGGAGGCAACUCUGACCCAGCAACGCCGCGUGAAGGAUGAAGGUUUUCGGAUUGUAAACUUCUGUCGCGAGGGACGAAGAAUGACGGUACCUCGUAAGAAAGCCCGGCUAACUACGUGCCAGCAGCCGCCGUAAG